GCGAACAGAGAAAGUGCUUGCACUUUCAAAGUUAGCGGCGGACGGGUGAGUAACACGUAAGGAACCUACCGAUAAGCGGGGGACAACAUCCGGAAACGGGUGCUAAUACCGCAUAGGAAGUUUGUUCGCAUGAACAAACUUAGAAAGAUGGCUCUGCUAUCACUUAUCGAUGGCCUUGCGGUGCAUUAACUAGUUGGCGAGGUAACGGCUCACCAAGGUGAUGAUGCAUAGCCGACCUGAGAGGGUAAUCGGCCACAUUGGGACUGAGACACGGCCCAAACUCCUACGGGAGGCAGCAGUAGGGAAUCUUCCGCAAUGGACGCAAGUCUGACGGAGCAACGCCGCGUGAGUGAAGAAGGUUUUCGGAUCGUAAAACUCUGUUGUAAGAGAAGAACAAAUUGUAGAGUAACUGCUACAGUCUUGACGGUAUCUUACCAGAAAGCCACGGCUAACUACGUGCCAGCAGCCGCGGUAAUACGUAGGUGGCAAGCGUUGUCCGGAUUUAUUGGGCGUAAAGGGGGCGCAGGCUGCUUCUUAAGUCUGAUGUGAAAGCCCACGGCUUAACCGUGGAAGUGCAUUGGAAACUGGGAAGCUUGAGUACAGAAGAGGAAAGUGGAACUCCAUGUGUAGCGGUGGAAUGCGUAGAUAUAUGGAAGAACACCAGUGGCGAAAGCGACUUUCUGGUCUGUCACUGACGCUGAGGCCCGAAAGCGUGGGUAGCAAACAGGAUUAGAA
rnacentral:rRNA from 1 species